UACGGAGGGUGCAGGCGUUGUCCGGAUUUAUUGGGUUUAAAGGGUGCGUAGGCGGCUUAUUAAGUCAGUGGUGAAAGCCUGCAGCUUAACUGUAGGACUGCCAUUGAUACUGAUGAGCUUGAGUACUGAUGAGGUAGGCGGAAUUGAUAGUGUAGCGGUGAAAUGCAUAGAUAUUAUCAAGAACACCGAUUGCGAAGGCAGCUUACUAAGGAGUUACUGACACUGAGGCACGAAAGCGUGGGGAUCAAACAGG
rnacentral:rRNA from 1 species